AUACGUAGGGUGCGAGCGUUGUCCGGAAUUACUGGGCGUAAAGAGCUCGUAGGUGGUUUGUCGCGUCGUCUGUGAAAUUCCGGGGCUUAACUCCGGGCGUGCAGGCGAUACGGGCAUAACUUGAGUACUGUAGGGGAGACUGGAAUUCCUGGUGUAGCGGUGAAAUGCGCAGAUAUCAGGAGGAACACCGGUGGCGGAGGCGGGUCUCUGGGAAGUAGCUGCCUCUUAGGUGGGAAUGCAUGUGUGGCGAACAGGAUUAGAUACCCUGGUAGUCCAUGCCGUAAACGGUGGGCUCUAGGUUUAGGGGUCUUCCACGACUUCUGUGCCGUAGCUAACGCAUUAAGCGCCCCGCCUGGGGAGUACGGCCGCAAGGCUAAAACUCAAAGGAAUUGACGGGG
rnacentral:rRNA from 1 species